rnacentral:rRNA from 1 species
GAUGAACGCUAGCGGCAGGCCUAAUACAUGCAAGUCGAACGGUGUCUUCGGACAUAGUGGCGCACGGGUGCGUAACACGUAUGCAACCUACCUUACAUUGGGGGAUAGCCUUUCGAAAGGGAGAUUAAUACCGCAUAAGACAGUAGCUGGGCAUCCAGCAGCUGUUAAAGAUUUAUCGAUGUAAGCUGGGCAUGCGUCCAAUUAGCUAGUUGGUGAGGUAACGGCUCACCAAGGCUAUGAUUGGUAGGGGAACUGAGAGGUCAAUCCCCCACACUGGCACUGAGAUACGGGCCAGACUCCUACGGGAGGCAGCAGUAGGGAAUAUUGGGCAAUGGACGCAAGUCUGACCCAGCCAUGCCGCGUGCAGGAUGAAGGCGUUAUGCGUUGUAAACUGCUUUUAUACAGGAAGAAACGACUCUUGCGAGAGGCAUUGACGGUACUGUAU